rnacentral:rRNA from 1 species
AUGAACGCUAGCGGCAGGCUUAAUACAUGCAAGGUCGAGGGGCAGCACAUGAGUAGCAAUACGAUGGUGGCGACCGGCGCACGGGUGCGUAACGCGUAUGCAAUCUACCUUUAACAGAGGGAUAGCCCCGAGAAAUCGGGAUUAAUACCUCAUAAAAUUUUCACAUGGCAUCAUGAGAAAAUCAAAGCUGAGGCGGUUAAAGAUGAGCAUGCGUGACAUUAGCUAGUUGGAGAGGUAACGGCUCACCAAGGCGACGAUGUCUAGGGGUUCUGAGAGGAUGAUCCCCCACACUGGUACUGAGACACGGACCAGACUCCUACGGGAGGCAGCAGUAAGGAAUAUUGGUCAAUGGGCGCGAGCCUGAACCAGCCAUGCCGCGUGCAGGAAGACGGCCUUAUGGGUUGUAAACUGCUUUUGUCGGGGAAUAAAUCUUUCUACGUGUAGAGAGUUGAAGGUACCCGAAGAAUAAGCAUCGGCUAACUCCGUG